rnacentral:miRNA from 1 species
GAGUUGUGUGUGUUUGUGUGAAAAAAAAUAUAUAUAUAUAUACACACACACACACACACACACACACACACACAUAC